GGGUGGGCUGUGCUGCAACUCGGUACUAGCCGGCUUGGCAAGCCGGCGCAGGUUGGCAACCUGCCCCACUUUCCA
rnacentral:tRNA from 1 species